rnacentral:rRNA from 1 species
UCUACGGGCGGCAGCAGUGGGGAAUAUUGGACAAUGGGCGAAAGCCUGAUCCAGCCAUGCCGCGUGUGUGAAGAAGGCCUUCGGGUUGUAAAGCACUUUCAGUGGGGAAGAAAGCCUUGGGGCUAAUACCCUCGAGGAAGGACAUCACCCACAGAAGAAGCACCGGCUAACUCCGUGCCAGCAGCCGCGGUAAUACGGAGGGUGCGAGCGUUAAUCGGAAUUACUGGGCGUAAAGCGCGCGUAGGCGGUCUGAUAAGCCGGUUGUGAAAGCCCCGGGCUCAACCUGGGAACGGCAUCCGGAACUGUCAGGCUAGAGUGCAGGAGAGGAAGGUAGAAUUCCCGGUGUAGCGGUGAAAUGCGUAGAGAUCGGGAGGAAUACCAGUGGCGAAGGCGGCCUUCUGGACUGACACUGACGCUGAGGUGCGAAAGCGUGGGUAGCAAACAGGAUUAGAUACCCCGGUAGUC